UAGAGCUCCGAUUAGAAAUCCAAAAGAUAGAAGACGAUUAUCUGAUCAAAACCUAAAACCUUGGUUCGAUUUUGAUCGGAACUAUUUUUUACCCCAACUCUCUCUGUCUCUCUCUCUCUCCAAUGGCAUGCUUCUUCUUCUUCUCUGUUUCUCUGCCCUCGCUUCGCAUCCAGAGCAAGACGAUGUUGUUUGGAUUUGAAAUCGAUUUCGAACUUGGAAAAUGUUGAAAAUGGAGCACGCGGUCGUUCCCCUAAGGAGGUGCUGGAGCACGUGUUCUCGUUCCUGCAGUCGGACGGCGACCGAAGCUCGACCUCGCUGGUGUGCAAGUGGGGGUAGAUUAUCGAGCGGUGAUCUGAAAAUUCAGAGCUUUGAUUUUUGCAUUAUCGGUAAUUUGUUAGUUACCUUCAGUAUGAUAAUACUAUGCUGGAGAACAAGCAAAAAGAGCUGAAGGGAUACAUAGCUUACUUCAGUCUGUGGAAACUUCCGUGAAUGCUUAUGAGGCUAUUGUAGACAUAAUGUAGGAGCCAUAUACUUUUGGAAGGAAUAAAGUUCAAACAAAUGCUCAAUGGCCAUGAAUGUGGGAGCCAAUCACAAAGUUGUUCAUCAUGAAGAUGGCAAAAAGAUAACCAGAUGGGCAUGAAGGAAGAUAACAAUGAAGUCACUUUGAAGACGAGGAUUUUAUCUCUUGAGCUUCUGCAGGGUUUGUUGGAAGGAGUUGGUCAUCCAUUUACUAGGAACUUCCAUUUUAUUGAUUCACUGAAAGCAUACCUAUCAAUCUAUCAUAUGCUUUGUUGCUAGCUUCAAUUUCGCCGUCCCCUAUCAUAUUACAGUAUGCAACUAGAAUUUUGUUGCGGUUAAGAGAAAGUCUCAAGUUCUCCGGUCCCUGGAUGGCUUGGAUUUACCCAUGAACCAAAAAAAUGAGUGUCCUUAGGAUGGUUGAAAAGGUUUGCAAGGAUCAUCAGAUGCUUGUUGACAUAUUUGUGAACUAUGACUGCGAUCUUGAGGCACUAAACUUGUUUGAGUGGAUGAAUAUCUCAAGGGAUGCAAAAUGCAGAUCCAAUAUGGCUGUUGCGUCCCAGACUACUUCAAUAAAGGGUUCGUCUCUUCUGUGUCUUGUGAAUGUGCUUAAAUCACUCGUAGAUUGGGAAAAGUCAUGUGGAGAAUCAGAUAGAAUAAAAACAUUCAGUCUUUGGAAGGAGAUGCUUCAACUAAAGAGUGUUGAUGUGAAAAGCAGGCAAGAUGCAACCAUUAACUUUGAGAAGGCAAAAGCUCAUAAGUCUACAGUGGAAUCUGCCAUAUUUGAGGUGGAAUAAAGUGAUGUUGUAUUACUAAUACUUUUGUAUCUCAAGUGCAUUUUUAUAAAUGGAAUAAAGAGAGAAAACACCAUAAUUUUGUUGGUGGUUAUAUACUUUUUUGUUUGACGUACAAUGAAUGUAAUGCAGUUGUUAGAACAUA